UCGGGAGUAGCUCAGUGGUAGAGCGUUCGGCUGUUAACCGAAAUGUCGUGGGUUCGAACCCCACCUCCCGAG
rnacentral:tRNA from 1 species